UACAGAGGUGGCAAACGUUGUCCGGAUUUAUUGGGUGUAAAGGGCAUGUAGGUGGUCUUGUAAGUCAAAGGUGAAAUGGCCCGGCUCAACCAGGUCAUUGCCUUUGAAACUGCAGGGCUUGAGUACGGAAGAGGGGAGCGGAAUUCCCAGUGUAGCGGUGAAAUGCGUAGAUAUUGGGAGGAACACCGGUGGCGAAGGCGGCUCUCUGGUCCGAAACUGACGCUGAGGCACGAAAGCCAGGGGAGCAAACAGG
rnacentral:rRNA from 1 species